UACGGAGGGUGCAAGCGUUGCUCGGAUUUAUUGGGCGUAAAGGGUAGGUAGGUGGUCUCAUUUGUCUGACGUGAAAGCCUUGGGCUUAACCCAAGAAGUGCCUCAGAAACGGUGAGACUAGAGUCCUAGAGAGGGUCGUGGAAUUCUCGGUGUAGCGGUGAAAUGCGUAGAGAUCGGGAGGAACACCAGAGGCGAAAGCGGCGACCUGGACAGGUACUGACACUCAACUACGAAAGCGUGGGGAGCAAACAGG
rnacentral:rRNA from 1 species